rnacentral:rRNA from 1 species
CUAAGAAUAUUCCGCAAUGGACGAAAGUCUGACGGAGCGACGCCGCGUGGAUGACGAAGGCCGAAAGGUUGUAAAGUCCUUUUGCUGGGGAAGAAUAACCAUGGGAGGGAAUGCCCGUGGGAUGACAUGAACCGGCGAAUAAGCCCCGGCUAACUACGUGCCAGCAGCCGCGGUAACACGUAGGGGGCGAGCGUUGUUCGGAAUUACUGGGCGUAAAGGGCAUGUAGGCGGCUCUGUAAGCCUGGCGUGAAAGUCACCGGCUCAACCGGUGGAUUGCGCUGGGAACUGCGGGGCUUGAAUCAUGGAGAGGGAGCUAGAAUUCCAGGUGUAGGGGUGAAAUCUGUAGAGAUCAGGAAGAAUACCAGUGGCGAAGGCGGCCUUCUGGCCAAUGACUGACGCUGAGGUGCGAAAGUGUGGGGAUCAAACA